GACGAACGCUGGCGGCGUGCCUAAUACAUGCAAGUAGAACGCUGAAGGAGGAGCUUGCUCUUCUGGAUGAGUUGCGAACGGGUGAGUAACGCGUAGGUAACCUGCCUGGUAGCGGGGGAUAACUAUUGGAAACGAUAGCUAAUACCGCAUAAGAGUAGAUGUUGCAUGACAUUUACUUAAAAGGUGCAAUUGCAUCACUACCAGAUGGACCUGCGUUGUAUUAGCUAGUUGGUGGGGUAACGGCUUACCAAGGCGACGAUACAUGGCCGACCUGAGAGGGGGAUCGGCCACACUGGGACUGAGACACGGCCCAGACUCCUACGGGAGGCAGCAGUAGGGAAUCUUCGGCAAUGGACGGAAGUCUGACCGAGCAACGCCGCGUGAGUGAAGAAGGUUUUCGGAUCGUAAAGCUCUGUUGUAAGAGAAGAACGAGUGUGAGAGUGGAAAGUUCACACUGUGACGGUAGCUUACCAGAAAGGGACGGCUAACUACGUG
rnacentral:rRNA from 1 species